AUUGAACGCUGGCGGCAGGCCUAACACAUGCAAGUCGAGCGGAUGAAGGGAGCUUGCUCCUGGAUUCAGCGGCGGACGGGUGAGUAAUGCCUAGGAAUCUGCCUGGUAGUGGGGGAUAACGUCCGGAGACGGGCGCUAAUACCGCAUCCGUCCUGAGGGAGAAAGUGGGGGUUCUUCGGACCUCACGCUAUCAGAUGAUCCUAGGUCGGAUUAGCUAGUUGGUGGGGUAAAGGCCUACCAAGGCGACGAUCCGUAACUGGUCUGAGAGGAUGAUCAGUCACACUGGAACUGAGAAACGGUCCAGACUCCUACGGGAGGCAGCAGUGGGGAAUAUUGGACAAUGGGCGAAAGCCUGAUCCAGCCAUGCCGCGUGUGUGAAGAAGGUCUUCGGAUGGUAAAGCACUUUAAGUUGGGAGGAAGGGCAGUAAGUUAAUACCUUGCUGUUUUGACGGUACCAACAGAAUAAGCACCGGCUAACUUCGUG
rnacentral:rRNA from 1 species